AUUGAACGCUGGCGGCAGGCUUAACACAUGCAAGUCGAGCGGGGUGAUGGUGCUUGCACUAUCACUUAGAGGCGGACGGGUGAGUAAUGCUUAGGAAUCUGCCUAUUAGUGGGGGACAACAUCUCGAAAGGGAUGCUAAUACCGCAUACGUCCUACGGGAGAAAGCAGGGGAUCACUUGUGACCUUGCGCUAAUAGAUGAGCCUAAGUCGGAUUAGCUAGUUGGUGGGGGAAAGGCCUACCAAGGCGACGAUCUGUAGCGGGUCUGAGAGGAUGAUCCGCCACACUGGGACUGAGACACGGCCCAGACUCCUACGGGAGGCAGCAGUGGGGAAUAUUGGACAAUGGGGGGAACCCUGAUCCAGCCAUGCCGCGUGUGUGAAGAAGGCCUUAUGGUUGUAAAGCACUUUAAGCGAGGAGGAGGCUCUUUUGGUUAAUACCCAAGAUGAGUGGACGUUACUCGCAGAAUAAGCACCGGCUAACUCUGUGCCAGCAGCCGCCGUAA
rnacentral:rRNA from 1 species